GAAGUGCUACUGUCUCUUGUGACCCAUCUUCUCCUAUACCAACUUCUUCCAGCACACCAUCACAGACAAAAUAAAGUUGGUCCACUACAUGCCCCUGUUCCAUGAUCACUUCUCCUGGGAGGAAAAAUUCUUCAUGCACUCGAGUUACAAUUUGACUUAUGAAUUCUGCGGAGCACUCCCUGAAAAGAGGAAUAUUUUCAAUGCAAGACAGAUAUAAAGUCUGGGAUAUCUUUGCACGAAUUGAGAUGGGAAG
rnacentral:misc_RNA from 1 species